UGGGGGUGAAAGGCCAAUCAAACCGGGAGAUAGCUGGUUCUCCCCGAAAGCUAUUUAGGUAGCGCCUCGUGAAUUCAUCUCCGGGGGUAGAGCACUGUUUCGGCAAGGGGGUCAUCCCGACUUACCAACCCGAUGCAAACUGCGAAUACCGGAGAAUGUUAUCACGGGAGACACACGGCGGGUGCUAACGUCCGUCGUGAAGAGGGAAACAACCCAGACCGCCAGCUAAGGUCCCAAAGUCAUGGUUAAGUGGGAAACGAUGUGGGAAGGCCCAGACAGCCAGGAUGUUGGCUUAGAAGCAGCCAUCAUUUAAAGAAAGCGUAAUAGCUCACUGGUCGAGUCGGCCUGCGCGGAAGAUGUAACGGGGCUAAACCAUGCACCGAAGCUGCGGCAGCGACGCUUAUGCGUUGUUGGGUAGGGGAGCGUUCUGUAAGCCUGUGAAGGUGUGCUGUGAGGCAUGCUGGAGGUAUCAGAAGUGCGAAUGCUGACAUAAGUAACGAUAAAGCGGGUGAAAAGCCCGCUCGCCGGAAGACCAAGGGUUCCUGUCCAACGUUAAUCGGGGCAGGGUGAGUCGACCCCUAAGGCGAGGCCGAAAGGCGUAGUCGAUGGGAAACAGGUUAAUAUUCCUGUACUUGGUGUUACUGCGAAGGGGGGACGGAGAAGGCUAUGUUGGCCGGGCGACGGUUGUCCCGGUUUAAGCGUGUAGGCUGGUUUUCCAGGCAAAUCCGGAAAAUCAAGGCUGAGGCGUGAUGACGAGGCACUACGGUGCUGAAGCAACAAAUGCCCUGCUUCCAGGAAAAGCCUCUAAGCAUCAGGUAACAUCAAAUCGUACCCCAAACCGACACAGGUGGUCAGGUAGAGAAUACCAAGGCGCUUGAGAGAACUCGGGUGAAGGAACUAGGCAAAAUGGUGCCGUAACUUCGGGAGAAGGCACGCUGAUAUGUAGGUGAAGCGACUUGCUCGUGGAGCUGAAAUCAGUCGAAGAUACCAGCUGGCUGCAACUGUUUAUUAAAAACACAGCACUGUGCAAACACGAAAGUGGACGUAUACGGUGUGACGCCUGCCCGGUGCCGGAAGGUUAAUUGAUGGGGUCAGCGCAAGCGAAGCUCUUGAUCGAAGCCCCGGUAAACGGCGGCCGUAACUAUAACGGUCCUAAGGUAGCGAAAUUCCUUGUCGGGUAAGUUCCGACCUGCACGAAUGGCGUAAUGAUGGCCAGGCUGUCUCCACCCGAGACUCAGUGAAAUUGAACUCGCUGUGAAGAUGCAGUGUACCCGCGGCAAGACGGAAAGACCCCGUGAACCUUUACUAUAGCUUGACACUGAACAUUGAGCCUUGAUG
rnacentral:rRNA from 1 species